CCGGUCGGAGGGCUCCUAGUGCGCCAGGUUGUGGGAAGUGAGGCUGGCGGUGGCGACAACCGAGGAGGAGGGGCGGGACGCCGUGGAGCACGGCGACCGGCUGAGCGUCAUGGAGGGCUCAGGGGAGCAGCCGGGCCCACAACCACAGCAUCCCGGAGACCACCGCAUCCGCGACGGCGACUUCGUGGUGCUGAAACGUGAAGAUGUGUUUAAAGCAGUACAAGUCCAGCGGAGAAAAAAAGUAACUUUCGAAAAACAGUGGUUCUACCUGGAUAACGUCAUUGGCCAUAGUUAUGGAACUGCAUUUGAAGUGACCAGUGGAGGAAGUCUACAGCCCAAGAAGAAGAGGGAAGAGCCUACUGCAGGAAAUAGUUCAGCAGUUAAUUGAAAAUAGUACAACAUUCCGAGACAAGACAGAAUUUGCCCAAGAUAAAUAUAUUAAAAAGAAGAAAAAAAAAUAUGAAGCCAUCAUUACUGUUGUGAAGCCAUCCACCCGUAUUCUUUCAAUUAUGUAUUAUGCAAGAGAACCUGGAAAAAUUAACCACAUGAGAUACGAUACACUAGCCCAGAUGUUGACGUUGGGAAAUAUCCGUGCUGGCAACAAAAUGAUUGUGAUGGAAACGUGUGCAGGCUUGGUGCUGGGUGCAAUGAUGGAACGAAUGGGAGGUUUUGGCUCCAUUAUUCAGCUAUACCCUGGAGGAGGACCUGUUCGGGCAGCAACAGCAUGUUUUGGAUUUCCCAAAUCUUUUCUCAGUGGUCUUUAUGAAUUCCCUCUCAA
rnacentral:lncRNA from 1 species